rnacentral:rRNA from 1 species
UACGGAGGUGCGAGCGUUGUCCGGAAUCACUGGGCGUAAAGGGCGCGUAGGCGGCGCGGAUAGUCGGCGGUGAAAGCCCGGAGCUCAACUCCGGGUCGGCCGUCGAUACUUCCGGGCUUGAGCACUGUAGAGGCAGAUGGAAUUCCGGGUGUAGCGGUGGAAUGCGUAGAGAUCCGGAAGAACACCGGUGGCGAAGGCGGUCUGCUGGGCAGUUGCUGACGCUGAUGCGCGACAGCGUGGGGAGCAAAACGAGG